AACGAACGCUGGCGGCAGGCUUAACACAUGCAAGUCGAACGCAUCGCAAGAUGAGUGGCAGACGGGUGAGUAACGCGUGGGAACAUACCCUUUUCUACGGAAUAGCUCUGGGAAACUGGAAUUAAUACCGUAUACGCCCUACGGGGGAAAGAUUUAUUGGGGAAGGAUUGGCCCGCGUUGGAUUAGCUAGUUGGUGGGGUAAAGGCCUACUAAGGCGACGAUCCAUAGCUGGUCUGAGAGGAUGAUCAGCCACAUUGGGACUGAGACACGGCCCAAACUCCUACGGGAGGCAGCAGUGGGGAAUAUUGGACAAUGGGCGCAAGCCUGAUCCAGCCAUGCCGCGUGAGUGAUGAAGGCCUUAGGGUUGUAAAGCUCUUUCACCGAUGAAGAUAAUGACGGUAGUCGGAGAAGAAGCCCCGGCUAACUUCGUGCCAGCAGCCGCCGUAAAAC
rnacentral:rRNA from 1 species